CACGUAGGGGGCGAGCGUUGUCCGGAUUCAUUGGGCGUAAAGGGCGCGCAGGCGGCCCGGAAAGUCGGAUGUGAAAACUCGAGGCUCAACCUCGAGCGUGCACCCGAUACUGCCGGGCUUGAGGCAGGUAGGGGAGAGUCGGAAUUCCUGGUGUAGCGGUGAAAUGCGCAGAUAUCAGGAAGAACACCAAUGGCGAAGGCAGCUCUCUGGGACGGUACUGACGCUGAGACGCGAAAGCGUGGGGAGCGAACAGG
rnacentral:rRNA from 1 species